UGCACUUCCAUUUAAAAUUUCCAAAGGGAUCUGCAUCUCCACUGGACAUUUUUAGGGAUCUGCAAGUGGAAAAAAAGGUUGAAAACCGCUGUUCUAAGUUAUUUAGACAUCUAACUCUGCUUGGGCUCCUCAACCAUGAACCUCUUCUGGAGUUCAGUGACAACACCAGGUUGUCCCUUUCUUAUGGAAAACCAGACUCCCCCAUCCCAUUAGACCCAAGAGAUCAGUGACCUGCAGUCAUCUGGAAGAGAGGAGACCUGUUUUCAAAUCUGCCUGAUUUAGAACAAAGGCUUGAACCCAAGCCUUCCAUAUCCCAUGAGAGUGCCCCAAUUAUCACUUUAUUGAGUAGCUUGAGGUGAGGGAGCAGGGUAAAUGCAUUAUUGUAUAGUACUUAAGAAUGAAUCUGUUCUUCUGAGGUAAAAAUUAAACCCUGUCCAAGAGUUUGUGAAAAGACAGUUAGUGAUAGUGAUGAAACUUGGGGCAUAGAUGGACAUCACCUUUUGCUUGUUCUCUGCACAUGGAUAAAAUUCACCACUUAAUUGAGGUGGGGUGACUGGGGUUAGUUGAUUGGGAUAACAGUUGCAGGUUGGGAAAUGUUGGGCUGGAAGAAAUUAGGUGAGCUUGAUAGACUGUGAAUAUGCUCUGAGAGGCCUUGGAGUCUUUGGAAUGAGCCUACUCCAACAGUGACAUCUUCCUUGAUGCAAGAAGAUGGUGAGUGAUGCUGCUAAAUAUGAAGAGUAAGGCAGAGAAGACGAAACCGGCAGCAGGGGGAGAACUGUAGCUUUUCACAGCCACAGGCUACUUGCAUUACAGAACAUAGUGAAGCCACUCCUCUUCUAGUGCAGACCUACCGGAAGCCUGGCCCAGAAUGUCACUCUUCUAAUGUGAUCCAGCUCAAGGAAGAUGGUGUACUAGUUUCAGGACAGGAGAUCUCUCACAGUAUGGGAGUGGGAUUCCUGCUUCAGCCCACAUCAGAAGCCCACAGGUCCAGUCUCAGCCCUUGCUUAUCUCCCCAGCAGGGGUGGGGAAGUCCCACGGAAACAACGCACAUUGAAUUGCUGUGUUAGUAGGUCUGAAAGACAGGCUGAUACCGCCCUUCAAACUGAAGGUAAUUAAGCCACGCUGAGAGUCUAAGGCAAGCUAUUUUUUACAGGACGAUGGGGAGAGGGCACAGAAGAUUGAAGGAUCUACAUACUGCAUUGGGCUACUUGAUUCUGCAGGAAAAAAAACCUAGGUGCCAUUAAAGUUAAUUGUUUUUAUUGCUCGUUUAAAAGUGUCUUGUAAAUCUUUUUAUGGUCUAGCCAAGGAGCAUGGGUGAGGCCUAAAUAUAACAGGAUGGGUAAGGCGGGGCAGGAAAAUAAUAGAUUUGGCAAAGUCUUCCCCACUCCAAUUCCCUCAGUGCUGUAGAGCUGGGAACUUAGUAACUUUCCUUCAGACAAGGAUCCUGUGAGCUUCUGAGCACAGAUCUCAGGUGAAGUUUAAAAUUCAGAUGCAUUUGUUUUGCCUUUGUUUCCUAGAAUCCAGCCAGGUCUAUUUCCUGGCAGAGAGGCUGUCCAGAAUUCAGGACACGGGAACAGACUUAUCAGUACAAAAUGUCAAUCCAAGAGGAUAUUUUUUAAAAUAUUCCUUUUUAAAAAGGGCUUUCUUGCUGAGUGUCUCACUCUCUCCCCAGUCAAUGUCACAGUCCUCAACAAUUCCGACAACUGGGCGAUUCAUCACCAUGUCUAUACCACAAAGGAAGAAGAUAUAUUUUUAGCUGAAAUGGCAUCCAUUGAUUUUUGUUUUCUCCCCCUUAAACCAUAAGAACUAUUAGAAAAAUUAAAGAAGAAAGAGGACUUGCAGCUGAUGAGUACGGGGGUUAAAAAUGGUUGGAAGCAGAUAUUUUAAUGGGAGGGGGGGAAUGUAUUGAUCCUAAAGAGCUGCUCUCUGACUUUUGCAAUUAAAAAAUAAAAUAGAAUGAGCCAAAAAGAUUUUAAGAGGGGGAUUUGAAGCCAUGGGGUCAUUUUGCUUCUGUGAGCAGCUUUCUGCUCUUAUCAAAUGGACCAAGAAAUUAAUUCAUUGGUUGAGGAAGAUUCAAACCGCAUUCACUUUUGAUUACUUUGAACAGGGGAUGAGGGGAGAAGAGAGACCCCAAAAGAAAAAAAUGUUAGUGUCCAGAUACUCACCUUUUUUAAAUUGGUCCUUUCAAUGAUUCCUCAGCAAGACUCCCAAAGGAUUUAUCAGGAGAGAGAGAAGUAACUAAUGGCACCUUUUCCUAAAGAGAGACCCAGUUUGUGCUUUGAAUGUGACUGUUAAGGGACACGACUUUCUUUCCUCAUAUUUGUAAACUCUGUAUCUUUCUAGUUACCUCCAUCUAUCCACACCUUUGUAUAUAGGUGCAUAUCAUACACAGUUGGGCAGAACAGUGUCUAGAAAUACGGAGGAGGAAUAUAAGAUCUUGAUAAGCCUAUGUCUAUCACAGAAUAGCUCUUUGAUCCUGUAUACUCUCAUGGAGAAAGUUAAUCCCUAUGUUGUGAUAUAAGUACCAGAUGCUUCUUGCAGGAAUUAUACCAGGGCAUAGGGUUAAUGCCCAAGCUUUUCUUUAAAGUGUCCUGUGGAUUAUUCCCUGAUUAAAAGGAUUGUUCUCAAAAUGACAAGAGUGUUAGGUCUAACUGUUGUUGUUGUUGAUGAGGCAUGGGGGAGACUUUCUGGGGAACAGAGUGUUUUGAUUUA